rnacentral:rRNA from 1 species
AGGACGAACGCUGGCGGCAGGCCUAACACAUGCAAGUCGAACGGGCGUAGCAAUACGUCAGUGGCGCACGGGUGAGUAACGCGUGGGUACCUGUCUGGUGGUAGGGAAUAACCGCGGGAAACUGCGGCUAAUACCCUAUGUGUCCUUCGGGACAAAGAUUUAUCGCCAUCAGGUGGGCCCGCGUAGGAUUAGCUAGUUGGUGAGGUAAUGGCUCACCAAGGCGACGAUCCUUAGCUGGUCUGAGAGGACGAUCAGCCACACUGGGACUGAGACACGGCCCAGACUCCUACGGGAGGCAGCAGUGGGGAAUAUUGGACAAUGGGGGCAACCCUGAUCCAGCCAUGCCGCGUGAGUGAUGAAGGCCUUCGGGUUGUAAAGCUCUUUUGGCGGGGACGAUGAUGACGGUACCCGCAGAAUAAGCUCCGGCUAACUUCGUGCCAGCAGCCGC